rnacentral:rRNA from 1 species
CCUACGGGAGGCAGCAGUGGGGAAUUUUGGACAAUGGGCGCAAGCCUGAUCCAGCAAUGCCGCGUGCAGGAUGAAGGCCUUCGGGUUGUAAACUGCUUUUGUACGGAACGAAACGGUGAGCUCUAAUACAGUUUGCUAAUGACGGUACCGUAAGAAUAAGCACCGGCUAACUACGUGCCAGCAACCGCGGUAAUACGUAGGGUGCGAGCGUUAAUCGGAAUUACUGGGCGUAAAGCGUGCGCAGGCGGUGAUGUAAGACAGAUGUGAAAUGCCCGGGCUCAACCUGGGACCUGCAUUUGUGACUGCAUCGCUAGAGUACGGUAGAGGGGGAUGGAAUUCCGCGUGUAGCAGUGAAAUGCGUAGAUAUGCGGAGGAACACCGAUGGCGAAGGCAAUCCCCUGGACCUGUACUGACGCUCAUGCACGAAAGCGUGGGGAGCAAACAGGAUUAGAUACCCUGGUAGUCCACGCCCUAAACGAUGUCAACUGGUUGUUGGGUCUUCACUGACUCAGUAACGAAGCUAACGCGUGAAGUUGACCGCCUGGGGNGGUACGGCCGCGAGUAGUAACGUACGAAGUAGAGUAGACGGACGUUGAGACGNGCGACGGACGACGACGAGGGAGGUAGG